rnacentral:snoRNA from 1 species
UGGUUCAGUGGUGACUACUGGUGUCGUGUGAGUCAUAACGAUGAAUACGUGUCUGGAACUCUUGAGGUCCAU